UACGUAGGGCGCAAGCGUUGUCCGGAAUUAUUGGGCGUAAAGAGCUCGUAGGCGGCUUGUCGCGUCGAUUGUGAAAGCCCCGGGGCUUAACCUCGGGUCUGCAGUCGAUACGGGCUGGCUAGAGUGUGGUAGGGGAGAUCGGAAUUCCUGGUGUAGCGGUGAAAUGCGCAGAUAUCAGGAGGAACACCGGUGGCGAAGGCGGAUCUCUGGGCCAUUACUGACGCUGAGGAGCGAAAGCGUGGGGAGCGAACAGG
rnacentral:rRNA from 1 species